UUGGGAUUUCAGCUACAGAUGGAUCAGAUAUACAUGGAUACAGUGGAAAAGGUGUCCCAAUUACAAGUUCCCACAGCUGGGCUUCGACCAACAUAAAGUAUUUCUGCAGAGCUCCAUGUAAAGACAGUAAAGAUUUAUUAGUAAAAUCUGACCAGUAACCUACAGGAAGAUACAGACUGGAGGAUUUUGGAAAUGGCACCUUCACUGUGAGCAUCACUGAUCUACAGGAGUCAGACUCUGGCAUUUACUGGUGUGGAGUGAAGAGAGCUGUAACAGAAACACAUAACACAAUCAGUCUGACAAUAUCUAAAGACACAAACACAACAGAUCCACAACUCCUAAAUCAGCAGCAAGUUCUCAAUCCACAACAACAAAAAGUUCAUUCUCCACAUCUGGUGACAACACAACCGCAUCUUCCUAAAAAGGAUUUACAGAUCCUGCCAUUUCAUCCAGACCAGCAUUUAAUGAGAGCAGUGCACAAUAUUCACUCUCCUCAGGUGCUCUGAUGUUCUCAUCUGUCGGUCUGACUGUGAUGGUGAUCAUAUUUGGGGUUGUUCUCUGUAUAUGCAAAAGGCAAAAGAACAAGUCACACAGUUCCAAUGAUGAUGCUGAAAUCCAAGGCACCACAUGUACCACAGAGACUGCUGGUGAUUAUGAGGAGAUCACAGAGACCCAACAGUGGACUGAAACACACACAAACAUCACCAUUUAUUCUACUGUCAAAAUAAGUACAGCAGCCAAUCAGAUCCAAGAUCCUCCACUAUCCUCCACCCUCUCCAUGUAAUUAUAGCCCAGCUGCACCAAAUGAUCUCCAAACUCCAGUACUGAUACAGCUACUGUACAUAUGCACACUUGCGACACUUUUUACUCUUUAACU